AUUGAACGCUGGCGGAAUGCUUUACACAUGCAAGUCGAACGGCAGCACGGGGGCAACCCUGGUGGCGAGUGGCGAACGGGUGAGUAAUACAUCGGAACGUGCCCGGUCGUGGGGGAUAACGUAGCGAAAGUUACGCUAAUACCGCUUACGAUCUGAGGAUGAAAGCGGGGGACCUUCGGGCCUCGCGCGAUCGGAGCGGCCGAUGUCAGAUUAGGUAGUUGGUGGGGUAAAGGCCUACCAAGCCGACGAUCUGUAGCUGGUCUGAGAGGACAACCAGCCACACUGGGACUGAGACACGGCCCAGACUCCUACGGGAGGCAGCAGUGGGGAAUUUUGGACAAUGGGCGCAAGCCUGAUCCAGCCAUUCCGCGUGCAGGACGAAGGCCUUCGGGUUGUAAACUGCUUUUGUAUGGAACGAAAAGGCUCUGGCUAAUACCUGGGGCUCAUGACGGUACCGUAAGAAUAAGCACCGGCUAACUACGUG
rnacentral:rRNA from 1 species